GUCAGUUUAGUAUGUCGUCCAAAAUGACGACAAAAACGUCAUAGUUUAGUAUGUCGUCCAAAAUGUCGACAAAAACGUCAUAGUUUAGUAUGUCAUCCAAAAUGUCGACAAAAACGUCACAGUUUAGUAUGUCGUCCAAAAUGUGGACAAAAACGUCAUAGUUUAGUAUGUCGUCCAAAAUGUGAUAAAAACGUCAUAGUUUAAUAUGUCGUCCAAAAAGUCGACAAAAACGUCAUAGUUUAGUAUGUCGUCCAAAAUGUGAUGAAAAUUUCAAAGUUCAGUAUGUCGUCCAAAAAGUCGACAAAAACCUCAUAGUUUAGUAUGUCGUCCAAAAUGUGAUAAAAAUUUCAAAGUUCAGUAUGUCGUCCAAAAUGUGACAAAACCGUCAUAGUUUAGUAUGUCGUCCAAAAUGUCGACAAAAAUGUCAUAGUUUAGUAUGUCGUCCAAAAUGUCGACAAAAACGUCAUAGUUUCGUAUGUCGUCAAAAAUGUGAUAAAAACGUCAUAGUUUAGUAUGUCGUCCAAAAUAUGGAAAAAAAACAUCAUAGUUUAGUAUGUCGUCCAAAACGUGGACAAAAACGUCAUAGUUUAGUAUGUCGUCCAAAAUGUGGACAAAAACAUCAUAGUUUACUAUGUCGUCCAAAAUGUGACAAAAACGUCGUAGUUUAGUAUGUCGUCCAAAAUGUGGACAAAAACGUCAUAGUUUAGUAUGUCGUCCAAAAAGUCGACAAAAACGUCAUAGUUUAGUAUGUCGUCCAAAAUGUGGACAAAAGCGUCAUAGUUUAGUAUGUCGUCCAAAAUGUCGACAAAAACAUCAUAGUUUCGUAUGUCGUCCAAAAUGUGACAAAAACGUCAUAGUUUAGUAUGUCGUCCAAAAUGUGAUAAAAACGUCAUAGUUUUGUAAGUCGUCUUUUUUAGCAAAAUCUCAUUCCACCCACAAUCAGACUGUGUGAGAUAGCUCCUCCGCGUUCGUUGAAUGAAUGGCAGGACAAGGUAUUUAGGUCUCAUUAAACAUGUUUAUUCAACAGUAGAUUGAAUAUAGCAGCCAGAGCUCCAAACUUGUAUCAGUGUCAACAACAGGAUAUUGUCAGUUCAUGUUGUCUGAAACGCUAUUCUUCCCCUGACCCAGCCUCAAAUCCAGUUUCAAAGGUGCGUAAGCACUCAGGAAGUGUCUUUCUUCUGAUUGGUGGUCUUCUGUGCAUCUGACCCCUUCCUUUGUGUAUGAGCCGCCAUCUUGUUCUGCUCCUGCUCUGGUUUGCUGUGCUCUGGGUACCAAGACCGAAGCAGUUGUUCUUACCUGUGGAACAGAGUUUUCCAGCAUAACCUUGAAACAGUCCUCGUACUUUUCUUCUCUGAAACAGCACACAGUGUAAAACAUUUGGAAUAGGAAUCUAUAAAAGCAAGCAGUUAGUAUGAAAACAAUUAGUAUAAAAACAGUUGGUAUCAAAACUCAUUUUGUAGAAAUAUCAUACAAAUCCCAGACGUCCAAAAUAUGACCAAAAACAUCGUCGUAUAGUAUGCCGUCCAAAAACUCGACAAAAACGUCAUAGUUUAGUAUGUCGUCCAAAAUGUGGACAAAAGCGUCACAGUUUCAUAUGUCGUCCAAAAUGUGACAAAAACGUCAUAGUUUAGUAUGUUGUCCAAAAUGUGAUAAAAACGUCAUUGUUUAGUAUGUCGUCCAAAAUGUCGACAAAAACGUCAUAGUUUCGUAUGUCGUCCAAAAUGUGACAAAAACAUCAUACUUUAGUAUGUCGUCCAAAAUGUGGACAAAAACGUCAUAGUUAAGUAUGUUGUCCAAAAUGUGGACAACAACGUCAUAGUUUAGUAUGUCGUCCAAAAUAUGGAAAAAAAUGUCAUUGUUUAGUAUGUCAUCCAAAACGUGGACAAAAACGUCAUAGUUUAGUAUGUCGUCCAAAAUGUGGACAGCAACGUCAUAGUUUAGUAUGUCGUCCAAAAUGUGGACAACAACGUCAUAGUUUAGUAUGUCGUCCAAAAUAUGGAAAAAAAUGUCAUAGUUUAGUAUGUCAUCCAAAACGUGGACAAAAACGUCAUAGUUUAGUAUGUCGUCCAAAAUGUGACAAAAACGUCAUAGUUUAGUAUGUCGUCCAAAAUGUGGACAACAACGUCAUAGUUUAGUAUGUCGUCCAAAAUGUGGACAAAAACGUCAUAGGUUAGUAUGUCGUCCAAGAAGUCGACAAACAGGUCAUAGUUUUGGAUGUCGUCCAAAAGGUGACAAAAACGUCAUAGUUCAGUAUGUCAUCCAAAAAGUCGACAAAAAACUCAUAGUUUAGUAUGUCGUCCAAAAUGUGAUAAAAAUUUCAAAGUUCAGUAUGUCGUCCAAAAUGUGACAAAACCGUCAUAGUUUAGUAUGUCGUCCAAAAUGUCGACAAAAACGUCAUAGUUUAGUAUGUCGUCCAAAAUGUCGACAAAAACGUCAUAGUUUCGUUUGUCGUCCAAAAUGUGAUAAAAACGUCAUAGUUUAGUAUGUCGUCCAAAAUGUGGACAAAAACGUCAUAGGUUAGUAUGUCGUCCAAGAAGUCGACAAACAGGUCAUAGUUUAGGAUGUCGUCCAAGAAGUCGACAAAAACAUCAUAGUUUCGUAUGUCGUCCAAAAUGUGACAAAAACGUCAUAGUUUAGUAUGUCGUCCAAAAUGUCGACAAAAACGUCAUAGUUUAGUAUGUCGUCCAAAAUGUGGACAAAAACGUCAUAGUUUAGUAUGUCGUCCAAAAUGUGGAAAAAAACAUCAUAGUUUAGUAUGUCGUCCAAAACGUGGACAAAAACGUCAUAGUUUAGUAUGUCGUCCAAAAUGUGAUAAAAACGUCAUAGUUUCGUAUGUCGUCCAAAAAGUCGACGAAAACGUCAUAGUUUAGUAUGUCGUCCAAAAAGUCGACAAAAACGUCAUAGUUUAGUAUGUCGUCCAAAAUGUGGACAAAAGCGUCAUAGUUUAGUAUGUCGUCCAAAAUGUCGACAAAAACAUCAUAGUUUCGUAUGUCGUCCAAAAUGUGACAAAAACGUCAUAGUUUAGUAUGUCGUCCAAAAUGUGAUAAAAACGUCAUAGUUUUGUAAGUCGUCUUUUUUAGCAAAAUCUCAUUCCACCCACAAUCAGACUGUGUGAGAUAGCUCCUCCGCGUUCGUUGAAUGAAUGGCAGGACAAGGUAUUUAGGUCUCAUUAAACAUGUUUAUUCAACAGUAGAUUGAAUAUAGCAGCCAGAGCUCCAAACUUGUAUCAGUGUCAACAACAGGAUAUUGUCAGUUCAUGUUGUCUGAAACGCUAUUCUUCCCCUGACCCAGCCUCAAAUCCAGUUUCAAAGGUGCGUAAGCACUCAGGAAGUGUCUUUCUUCUGAUUGGUGGUCUUCUGUGCAUCUGACCCCUUCCUUUGUGUAUGAGCCGCCAUCUUGUUCUGCUCCUGCUCUGGUUUGCUGUGCUCUGGGUACCAAGACCGAAGCAGUUGUUCUUACCUGUGGAACAGAGUUUUCCAGCAUAACCUUGAAACAGUCCUCGUACUUUUCUUCUCUGAAACAGCACACAGUGUAAAACAUUUGGAAUAGGAAUCUAUAAAAGCAAGCAGUUAGUAUGAAAACAAUUAGUAUAAAAACAGUUGGUAUCAAAACUCAUUUUGUAGAAAUAUCAUACAAAUCCCAGACGUCCAAAAUAUGACCAAAAACAUCGUCGUAUAGUAUGCCGUCCAAAAACUCGACAAAAACGUCAUAGUUUAGUAUGUCGUCCAAAAUGUGGACAAAAGCGUCACAGUUUCAUAUGUCGUCCAAAAUGUGACAAAAACGUCAUAGUUUAGUAUGUUGUCCAAAAUGUGAUAAAAACGUCAUUGUUUAGUAUGUCGUCCAAAAUGUCGACAAAAACGUCAUAGUUUCGUAUGUCGUCCAAAAUGUGACAAAAACAUCAUACUUUAGUAUGUCGUCCAAAAUGUGGACAAAAACGUCAUAGUUAAGUAUGUUGUCCAAAAUGUGGACAACAACGUCAUAGUUUAGUAUGUCGUCCAAAAUAUGGAAAAAAAUGUCAUUGUUUAGUAUGUCAUCCAAAACGUGGACAAAAACGUCAUAGUUUAGUAUGUCGUCCAAAAUGUGGACAGCAACGUCAUAGUUUAGUAUGUCGUCCAAAAUGUGGACAACAACGUCAUAGUUUAGUAUGUCGUCCAAAAUAUGGAAAAAAAUGUCAUAGUUUAGUAUGUCAUCCAAAACGUGGACAAAAACGUCAUAGUUUAGUAUGUCGUCCAAAAUGUGACAAAAACGUCAUAGUUUAGUAUGUCGUCCAAAAUGUGGACAACAACGUCAUAGUUUAGUAUGUCGUCCAAAAUGUGGACAAAAACGUCAUAGGUUAGUAUGUCGUCCAAGAAGUCGACAAACAGGUCAUAGUUUUGGAUGUCGUCCAAAAGGUGACAAAAACGUCAUAGUUCAGUAUGUCAUCCAAAAAGUCGACAAAAAACUCAUAGUUUAGUAUGUCGUCCAAAAUGUGAUAAAAAUUUCAAAGUUCAGUAUGUCGUCCAAAAUGUGACAAAACCGUCAUAGUUUAGUAUGUCGUCCAAAAUGUCGACAAAAACGUCAUAGUUUAGUAUGUCGUCCAAAAUGUCGACAAAAACGUCAUAGUUUCGUUUGUCGUCCAAAAUGUGAUAAAAACGUCAUAGUUUAGUAUGUCGUCCAAAAUGUGGACAAAAACGUCAUAGGUUAGUAUGUCGUCCAAGAAGUCGACAAACAGGUCAUAGUUUAGGAUGUCGUCCAAGAAGUCGACAAAAACAUCAUAGUUUCGUAUGUCGUCCAAAAUGUGACAAAAACGUCAUAGUUUAGUAUGUCGUCCAAAAUGUCGACAAAAACGUCAUAGUUUAGUAUGUCGUCCAAAAUGUGGACAAAAACGUCAUAGUUUAGUAUGUCGUCCAAAAUGUGGAAAAAAACAUCAUAGUUUAGUAUGUCGUCCAAAACGUGGACAAAAACGUCAUAGUUUAGUAUGUCGUCCAAAAUGUGAUAAAAACGUCAUAGUUUCGUAUGUCGUCCAAAAAGUCGACGAAAACGUCAUUGUUUACUGUCGUCCAAAAUGUGGACAAAAACAUCAUAGUUUACUAUGUCGUCCAAAAUGUGGCAAAAACGUCGUAGUUUAGUAUGUCGUCCAAAAUGUCGACAAAAACGUCAUAGUUUCGUAUGUCGUCCAAAAUGUCGACAAAAACGUCAUAGUUUCGUAUGUCGUCCAAAAUGUGACAAAAACGUCAUAGUUUAGUAUGUCGUCCAAAAUGUGAUAAAAACGUCAUAGUUUAGUAUGUCGUCCAAAAUGUCGACAAAAACGUCACAGUUUCGUAUGUCGUCCAAAAUGUCGACAAAAACGUCACAGUUUCGUAUGUCGUCCAAAAUGUGAUAAAAACGUCAUAGUUUAGUAUGUCGUACAAGAUGUGGACAAAAGCGUCAUAGUUUCGUAUGUCGUCCAAAAUAUGAUAAAAACGUCAUAGUUUAGUAUGUCGUCCAAAAUGUGGACAAAAACGUCAUAGUUUAGUAUGUCGUCCAAAAAGUCGACAAAAACGUCAUAGUUUAGUAUGUCGUCCAAAAAGUCGACAAAAACGUCAUAGGUUAGUAUGUCGUUCAAAAUGUGGACAAAAACUUCAUAGUUUUGUAAGUUGUCUGUUUUAGCAAAAUCUCAUUCCACCCACAAUCAGACUGUGUGAGAUAGCUCCUCCGCGUUCGUUGAAUGAAAUGACAGGACAUGGUAUUUAGGUCUCAUUAAACAUGUUUAUUCAACAGUAGAUUGAAUAUAGCAGCCAGAGCUCCAAACUUGUAUCAGUGUCAACAACAGGAUAUUGUCAGUUCAUGUUGUCUGAAACGCUAUUCUUCCCCUGACCCAGCCUCAAAUCCAGUUUCAAAGGUGCGUAAGCACUCAGGAUGUGUCUUUCUUCUGAUUGGUGGUCUUCUGUGCAUCUGACC